AGCUUCGUGAUCCAGCGGUGAAGGAUACUUGCCUCUCACUCCGGAGUCCAGGGUUCAAACCCCGGUCAAGAAGCUG